GGAGGAAUUCCCGAGUGGCUAAAGGGGGCAGACUGUAAAUCUGUUAGCUCAGCUUUCCAUGGUUCGAAUCCAUGUUCCUCCACCA
rnacentral:tRNA from 5 species